UCUAAAACAUUCAGCCGCUAAUCAUCUUCAGAUCCCCCAUUUUAACCUCUGCAACUUAUCCUUCCCCGCACUACACAAGCUCCUUCACUCUCAACUCCCCACUCUCCUUUCUUACACACCCCUCCCCCUUUAACUGAUUAACGGCCACCACAGCCACCACCGUCCGGUGGUGGCAUGAAGACGAGACAGAGAGAGUAGAAGGUGGCACAAUGACAUAACAAGAGGGAGAGACGAGGCGGAGGUGGUCCGACGAGGACGUUCGACGGCGGAAGCACCGUGAGCGACGACCGCUAGCGGCGGAGCCGCGGCGGCAAUGUCUGCGACAACGGCGAAUCUAUUUCUGGUUCGGUGUGGGACUAUCGGGUUUCUGACGGGUCAGCCGGUUCAGGCUCGGUCCAGUUAAGGUUGGUUUCGGGUUCAAGUUUUGUUGAUUUAUUCGAUUCAGUUACGCUUCAGUCUUGAGUUGGGUGUAUCUUUGUUCAAUUUCGGUUCAGAUUCAUGUCGGGUCAGCCGGUGUAGUUUCGGUUCAACUUGGUCCAUGCUCAGUUUCGUUAACUCGAUCUCGGGUUUGGAUCUUGAUGAAGUUCGGAUUUCAUUUCGCGGCUCGGUCAAGCUGGACAAAGGCAAUCAAGCCAAUCAACCUCGAGUCUGGUUCAAGUUUAUUUUGAUUCGAGUUCGAUCGGACUCGGGUCAACUGUGGUUAUUCGGUUCGAGCUUCCAGUCCCGGUUCGAGUCUCGGGUCAUGUUUCGGUACAGUUCAGUCUUCGCGGCAUGGUCGACUCGACUUUUGGUUCCGUCACGGUGCGAGUCAACGUGGUGUGUCUUGGCUCGGUUCAGAUUCGCAUUCAAAUUCGGUUCGGGCAAUCACUUCACUUUCGUUCUCUUGGACUUUCUCCAAUCUUACUCGUGCGUUAUAUUCAAGGAAUCUUCAUACGCAACCAAGGUUAAUUGAUGAAGCGAUGUUACAAGAUGAAACAAGAUUUAGGGUGGACUAGAUACACACCUAGAUUAAUCUAUCUUUUGUUGUUAUGUUACAAUUCGAAACAAUGUUGCUAUUUUUAUUUGAAUCUUGUAUGACAUUUAGUCUUGAAAUGAAAUUUUGAAUUAAAUUAAUAUUGU